rnacentral:lncRNA from 1 species
UGUUAAUAUACCAAGUGAGUUGACAGUCCUCAGAUACCUUAACCUGUAUGAUUGUACUGCUGCUGUUCUAGGCCUUUUCUGGAAAGAGACGAUAGUUAUAACCAGAUCAGACCCUACUCAGGGCCAUCUGUUUUAAUCCUGCUCUUGCCUCUCAUCAUUAAGCAAGAUAUUUAACUGCUUUAAACCUCAGCUUCUUUAUCCAUAAAAUGGUGUUACUACUUCACAGGACUGUUGAAGGAUUAAGUGAGAUAGUACAUUUGCUUCACAGUAACCCUGAAUUAAUGGUCCCCAGAUGUAACUUCACAUUUCUGCCAAGGAUUUAUAUGUUUGUCAUUAGAUUGAUUUAGCAGCACAGAGUUUAACUUAGGACACCUGACUGCCAAUGUACUGAGUCAUAGUGAUACUAUUUUCUUCAUAGCAGAAAAAGGAUUUGAUGUCAUUUUAAUGCAACUAUCGCAUUUGUUGGGGUAGAUAGAGGAAUAAUAUAAAAACUUCCCAGGCUGUUUAUGUUAUUUCCCCCACCUCAAAAAUUUAGAGGGUUUUUUUGGUUUUGGUCUGGUUUUGCUGAGGAUUGAACUUAGGGCCUAUACCCCCAGUCAAGGGUUUAAAGGAAUAAGGAAUUUUGUGAAGGCAGUAUUUCCAUUGUGAAUUAUACUAAGCAAGCCAGUGUAGAACACAGGGUAUUGUGGUCUUACAGAACUGCAUUCCAGGGCCGGGUGCAGUGAUGCAUGCCUAUAAUCCCAGCGGCUUGGGAGGCUGAGCCAGGAGGAACAAGAAUUUAAAGCCAGUCUCAGCAAUUUAGUGAGGCCCUAAGCAACUCAGUGAGAACCUGUCUAUAAAAAUAUAAAUAUUAAAAAAAAGGGCUAGGGAUGUGGCUCAGUGGUAAAGUAUCCCUGAUACCAAAAAAAAAAAAAAACUGGUUUCCAAUCCCAUGUCUUUACCUCUCAGUUUCCUCAUCUGAAAAUUGGCCAACAACAUACUAAUUCCAUGAAUAGUUUUGUUUUGUUUUGUACUAGGAAUUGAACCCAGGGAUGCUAUACCGGUGAGCUACUUCCCCAGCCCUAUUUAGAGAGAGAGAAUUUUUUUUAAUAUUUAUUUUUCAGUUUUCGGUGGACACAACAUCAUUAUUUUAUUUUUAUGUGGUGCUGAGGAUCGAACCCAGCACCCCGAGCAUGCCAGGCGAGAGUAUUACAGCUUGAGCUACAUCCCCAGCUCUCCUUUUUAUUUUUUAUUUUAACAUUUUGAGACAGGUUCUCACAAAGUUGCUUAGGGCCUCACUAACCUGCUGAGGCUGGCCUUGAACUUUCGAUCCUCCUUGCCUCAGCUUCCUAAAUCAUGGGAAUUACAGGUGUGUGCCACUACAUUUAGCCCAUGAGUAGGUACUAAUUAAAAUUGAAAUAAUGUUGGAAAAUAGCCUUGUAACAAUGCCUGGUAUAGAGUAGACAUUUAAUCAGUGUUAUUUCCCCUCAUUUCUUAACAAAAUGAAAAAGUGUCUGGAAAAUUCACCACCGAUUUUAAAAACUCAGAUCUCAGCCUUCGUAAAGUUCUCUGUCAAUCAUCCUCCUAUCUCUGUCUAUGCUUUUUGUAUCCUUCUACCACCCAGCUCGGUUCAGAAGUUCCUAAGCAAGUCUCUUUGACACCAUUUGUUUUACUUAUCAAGUCAGGCGUUCUUCCUCACAGCCCACUGAAGCUGGAACAAUCUUCCAUUCUUGUGGAGAGCAACCUUGCUUUUCUAAUAUCCUCUUUCACCUCUCUCCCUGAAUGUUACUGCUUUUUAAUCAUUGUCUUUUUCGUGCAGCAUGCUCCUUCUUUCCAGCUGAUAAAAUGUAAAAUAGAGAGGAAAGAAUGAACUCCACUUUUAUGUAACAUCCUCUCUCCCCUUAGCUGUCCAUUUUUCCAUAGCAGUCUUUCUGAGAAAGAAAACUUCAAAGAUAAAGACAAUGGCAAACACAGUAUAUUGCUUGAAACUGGCAAAUCAUAUUUUUAAAAGCUCUGUUCUUCUGCCAUUUCAUAUUGGCCUGAGUAAUAAUUCUCCCUAUAUGCUAACACCGGUCAUGGGGGAAUGGGGCCUGAACCAUAUACCCAUAGAGAAGAAAGAAAUGGAUCACUCUAGUUACUGAUAGGUGGCUUGGGCUUGGAUGGGUGUGAUUAAAGAAUGGAGUAUUAAUCAUGUGAUGUAGAUGAGAAAAACGAGCGACUCUAAAAUGUUCCUGAAGAAACAUGAAGGCUGCGGGUGUGGUGGUGCAUGCCAGUGGCUCAGGAGGCUGAAGCAGGAGGAUCAUAAGUUCCAAGCCAGCCUCAGCAAUUUAGCAAGGCUCUAAGCAACUUAGUGAGACCCUGUCUCAAAAAAUAAAAAGGAUUGAGAUAUGGCUCAGUGAUUAAGCACCCUUGGAUUCAAUCCCUAGUACCAAGAAAGAAAUAAGAAG